CGCUGGCGGCGUGCCUAAUACAUGCAAGUCGAGCGAGCGGAACUAACAGAUUUACUUCGGUAAUGACGUUAGGAAAGCGAGCGGCGGAUGGGUGAGUAACACGUGGGGAACCUGCCCCAUAGUCUGGGAUACCACUUGGAAACAGGUGCUAAUACCGGAUAAGAAAGCAGAUCGCAUGAUCAGCUUUUAAAAGGCGGCGUAAGCUGUCGCUAUGGGAUGGCCCCGCGGUGCAUUAGCUAGUUGGUAAGGUAAAGGCUUACCAAGGCGAUGAUGCAUAGCCGAGUUGAGAGACUGAUCGGCCACAUUGGGACUGAGAUACGGCCCAGACUCCUACGGGAGGCAGCAGUCGGGAAUAUUGCGCAAUGGAGGAAACUCUGACGCAGUGACGCCGCGUAUAGGAAGAAGGUUUUCGGAUUGUAAACUGCUUUAGACAGGGAAGAAAAAAGACAGUACCUGUAGAAUAAGCUCCGGCUAACUACGUGCC
rnacentral:rRNA from 1 species